GCUGUCCGUGCUGCACGGAACCGGCGUAGCAUCAACGGGCUCAUCCCGGUACCGCGUGCACCCCCAGGCAGGGUUCGGUAUCGCUGAUACCGCGGCGGUGGUGCACUAUACAUCGUCUGCCAUACAGUGUGCUCAGCUGUGCUCGAUUUCUGGCUCAUCUGUCUUCUCCGUCACUGAAGAAAACACAGGAAAAGUGGGAUGCAGAAUUGCAUCGUCUGGCUUCCGAGCUGAGAACCUCACCGCCGGCGCCGCUGCUGCAGGAGAAACAACCUACGUCGACGAGCUCGCCUCUGCUACUGUACAGGAACUUACCACUGCCGCACCCACUCCAGG
rnacentral:lncRNA from 1 species